GAACACAGUGAGUAGGGAAGAACUGCAGCUCCUGCUCACUGAAGGCAAAGCCUGGGAGAAAUUUGUGACUGAGGCUGAUUUGUCCAGGUAAUGGGCACUGCUGUACCAAGAAUGUCACCCAGAUCCCCCCACCCCAGAUUAGUUUUCUCCUGGCAGGCACACCUCCUCCAGGCAGUAUCCUAUGGUUGGGUUCAAGGAUGUUCCUUCUCAAGAUUCCAUAAGUAAUAUUUCCUCCAUCUCAUUUGCUGGCAGUGAACAGUCUCAGUUGAGCAGAGAUGAAACCUGCAAGGAAGCAGCAGGUUGUGUGACCUUGGAUAAGUUACGUAACUACUCCCUGCCUUAGUUUCUUCAUCUCUUCAGUCUUAUUGUGGGGAACUGAGAUUGUGCAGGCAAAGUGCUUAGUGUAAUUGCUGGCACAUGGUAGGUGCUCAAUUCAUGUUAGCUUUUAAAAAGUUUGUUGUGAAGAGACCGGGGACAAGGAUCUUGAUCUUGGAGGCAAGCAGGACUUCCUUUGGAACAAGUCAGAAAAUCCUGAUGUCAUCAGUUUGUGUUGCUGGGAUUCUGGCUAGAGCCCUUUUUUUCCCAGUCUUAGCAACUGUACAAACGCUGUCGGAUCCUGCUGGCCCAACAGGCAGAGAGGCUGGAGUGGAAUAGGAUCAGGCUGGGCUGGAUCCUGGCUUGACCCCGGCCCAGCUCUGGAACCUUGGUUAUGUCUCGAAUGUCAAAUUUGUCAUCUAUCCAAUGGGGAUGGCAAUUCAAUCUGAUGGAUGGUGGCAAUGGCCUUCGAGUGAACUGCAGGGUCAGAGGUGGGGAGCCACGUGCAAUCAUCUCAUCCAAAGGCCCAGGACACCUGGACCAGGGUCAGACCUGGGGGUCAGGAUGGAGCAGAGGGGUCUGAGGUGGAGGAGGAGUAGGAAGGUUUGGGCAACAGGGCCAGGGCUGGAGUGAGGCGAGUGGACCCCCGGACACCGAACUGCAGGGGCUGCUCACCUGGCAGAGAUCCCCUGAGUGGGAGAGGGGACAUUUCUUCCCUCCCUGACCUGGUCCCCUCCUGCCGGGCAUCCAGGGCCUUGGGUGACCGUGUCCUCCACACCCUGCCUGGGAGCUGGGGGUUCUCCCUGCCACCUGGGCCCCUCUUCUGUUCUACGCAGGGUAGCCCUGACCGGUGGGAAGGCAGUGUGGCCUGGGGACAACUCCAACAUUACAACGAGUGGCUGCCAGUUCUGUAUAAUUUGAGAGCUUCUGAGCAGACUCACGAGUUCCCACCAACGAGGAAACUCUUCCUCAGGCCGAGCAGUUCUUAGGGAUGAUUCCCAAAGUCUCUUGACUCUUUCAGAGGUUCCAUAAACUCGCCACGGCCUUGGUGUGCAGGCAGUCCUCGGGACUCUCCUUACCUUUGACACCAAUGGCAAAUGUGGGGGCUUCCCCAAACCCUCUCAGGUGCGAGAGCUCCCUAGAGGGAGGCGCAGAACUCACUGAAGCUGUGGUGACCCCCGUUAGGGUGUCUGCCAGGGCAGGAUGUGGGUGACCAUCAGCCACAGGGCAGAGGCUGGGAGGGUUUUGAACGGGCAGCUCCCGUUGUCCUCAGGACGCACAGCUGUCCUGUGUUCCAGGGGGACAGGGCCCACGGAGCCCUGCCCGGCAGGGAUGCUCCCCUUGUUUAAAAAACAAAUGCUUCCGACCCUUGUUAAAAUGAUAAGGAAGACGUUACUGAGGCCCAUCGUGAGAGGUGCAAAGACCAUCGCCGUGGGGGAGAGACUGGGCUCAAAGUCAAAUGCGUCAGAGACAACGGGGACUCAUCACCAAGGAGCAGGGGCUGCCGGGGUGGAUGGAAGGUUCCUGGGGGGAGACGUCAAGGGUAGGGACCCCUGUUAAACUUUCCCAGGAGGGCUCUUGCUAAAAGGAGGUCGAGGACCUAUGCCUCAAAGGUGAUCCGAUGUCAAGAGUGCCCGUGGGACGUUCUCCCUAGAGUGACCUGCAAGAGUUCUGGCUGAACGCGGGCGAUGGGGGCCAUCGAGGACACGGAUGUGAGGUCAAGGGUCGGUGAGAAGGGGGCUCAGAAGAGCCUGCCUCAAGUUUGGUCAAGGGGAGAGUCUUUUCCACCGGAGCCUCGGUGUCCGGAGUUUUGCUGGGGCUCCAUCACAUGCUGCCCGCACGGCUGACCUGCUGCCUCCAGCCCCUCCCGGGGCUCAGGCUACUGUCCCAGGGUCCAGCUCCUCCAGCAAUUAUUCCCCGUGACCCAGAGGCCCCAUCGCGCAUCGCCUUGUGGGGCUGCCCAGUGGCCAAGGGCCCAGGUGGACAAGAACACUCCUCUCAGCCAGAACAUUCCAGGGGCUCAGGGGUCACUACCAGUAGCCAAGGGCAGCGAGCAGGUUAACGCCUCACCGCCACCAAGUUCCUCUGACUGAGGGAUUUCUGCUCCAGUCCCACUGUUCUUUGUUCAUCUGUGGUCCCUCCUACACUCUUUUUGUUUUUGUUUUGUUUUCCUUUUUUUUUUUCCAAUGUAUUAUUGGCAUUUAUUGUUUCAACUUUUUUUUUUUUUUUUUUUUUGUCUUCUUGCAUUUUCUAGGGCCACUCCCGCGGCAUGUGGAGGUUCCCAGGCUAGGUGUCAAAUCGGAGUUGUUGUCGCUGGCCUACGCCACAGCCACAGCAGAUCCGAGCCAAGUCUGUAACCUACACCACAGCUCCUGGCAAGGCCAGAUCCUUUACCCACUGAGCAAGGCCAGGGAUGGAACCUGCAACCUCAUAGUUCCCAGUUGGAUUCGUUUCUGCUUUGCCAUGAUGGGAACUUCUUAUUGUUUCAGCUUAUUAUGAAGAUUCUCAUGCUUCUGAAUUAGUUAGUAUGACAAAUAUUUGGAAAUACAUUUUUUAUAUUGUGCUCUGAUCAUUUCCAAUUUUUGAAAUAUUUUUAAAAUUAAAAAAUUUUUCCUACUCACUCUUCGAAAUUGAUGGUGUUGACCUGCCUCUGAGGCAUCUUUAUCAAAUACCUAUCUUAAGCGUAUAAUCAGAUGGAGCUCCUGUUAUGGCUCAGCAGGUCAAGAACCUGACAUGUUGUUGACGAUGCGGAUUUGAUCCCUGGCCUCGCUCAGUGGGUUGAGGAUCCUGCUUUGCUGUGAGCUGAGGUGUCGGUCGCAGAUGUGACUUGGAUCCAGUAUUGCUGUGGCUGUGGUGUAGGCCUGGACCCCUAGCCUGGGAACUUCCAUAUGCCGCAGGUGUUAC
rnacentral:lncRNA from 1 species